UACGUAGGGUGCAAGCGUUAAUCGGAAUUACUGGGCGUAAAGCGUGCGCAGGCGGUUUUGUAAGUCUGUUGUGAAAUCCCCGGGCUUAACCUGGGAAUGGCAAUGGAGACUGCAAGGCUAGAGUUUGGCAGAGGGGGGUAGAAUUCCACGUGUAGCAGUGAAAUGCGUAGAGAUGCGGAGGAACACCGAUGGCGAAGGCAGCCCCCUGGGCUAACACUGACGCUCAGGCACGAAAGCGUGGGGAGCAAACAGG
rnacentral:rRNA from 1 species